rnacentral:rRNA from 1 species
UACGUAGGGUGCGAGCGUUGUCCGGAAUUAUUGGGCGUAAAGAGCUCGUAGGCGGUGUGUCGCGUCGGCCGUGAAAACCUGGGGCUCAACUCUGGGCGUGCGGUCGAUACGGGCAUCACUUGAGUUCGGCAGGGGAGACUGGAAUUCCUGGUGUAGCGGUGAAAUGCGCAGAUAUCAGGAGGAACACCAGUGGCGAAGGCGGUGGUCUGGGCCGGUACUGACGCUGGUAGAGCG